UCUCCUGGAAACGGGUGGUAAUGCCGGAUGUUCCACAUGAGCGCAUGCGAGUGUGGGAAAGGCUUUUUGCGGCAUGGGAUGGGGUCGCGUCCUAUCAGCUUGUUGGUGGGGUAACGGCCUACCAAGGCGUUGACGGGUAGCCGGCCUGAGAGGGCGACCGGCCACAUUGGGACUGAGAUACGGCCCAGACUCCUACGGGAGGCAGCAGUGGGGAAUAUUGCACAAUGGGCGCAAGCCUGAUGCAGCGACGCCGCGUGCGGGAUGGAGGCCUUCGGGUUGUAAACCGCUUUUGUUCAAGGGCAAGGCACGGUUUCGGCCGUGUUGAGUGGAUUGUUCGAAUAAGCACCGGCUAACUACGUGCCAGCAGCCGCGGUAAUACGUAGGGUGCAAGCGUUAUCCGGAUUUAUUGGGCGUAAAGGGCUCGUAGCGGUUCGUCGCGUCCGGUGUGAAAGUCCAUCGCUUAACGGUGGAUCCGCGCCGGGUACGGGCGGGCUUGAGUGCGGUAGGGGAGACUGGAAUUCCCCGGUGUAACGGUGGAAUGUGUA
rnacentral:rRNA from 1 species